rnacentral:rRNA from 1 species
CAGCAGGCGCGCAAAUUACCCACUCCCAGAACGGGGAGGUAGUGACGAAAAAUAACAAUACGGGACUCUUUUGAGACCCCGUAAUUGGAAUGAGUACACUCUAAAUCCUUUAACGAGGAUCCAUUGGAGAGCAAGUCUGGUGCCAGCAGUCGCGGUAAUUCCAGCUCCAAUAGCGUAUAUUAAAGUUGUUGCGGUUAAAAAGCUCGUAGUUGGAUCUCAGCUCCGGCCGGACGGUCCGCCUACCGGUGGUUACUGUUCGCUGCCGAGCGUUCAGGGGGCUUCGUCCUAUGAUCUUCACCGGUUGUCGGUCGGGGCCCCCACGUUUACUUUGAAAAAAUUAGAGUGCUCAAAGCAGGCGCGACGCCUGAAUAAUUGUGCAUGGAAUAAUGGAAUAGGACCUCGGUUCUAUUUUGUUGGUUUUCGGAACACGAGGUAAUGAUUAAGAGGGACAGACGGGGGCAUUCGUAUUGCGACGCUAGAGGUGAAAUUCUUGGACCGUCGCAAGACGAACUACUGCGAAAGCAUUUGCCAAGAAUGUUUCCAUUAAUCAAGAACGAAAGUUAGAGGUUCGAAGGCGAUCAGAUACCGCCCUAGUUCUAACCAUAAACGAUGCCAGCCAGCGAUCCGGCUGUGUUCCUCAAAUGACACGCCGGGCAGCUUCCGGGAAACCAAAGCUUUUGGGUUCCGGGGGAAGUAUGGUUGCAAAGCUGAAACUUAAAGGAAUUGACGGAAGGGCACCACCAGAAAUGGAGCCUGCGGCUUAAUUUGACUCAACACGGGAAAACUUACCCGGCCCGGACACAGGAAGGAUUGACAGAUUAAGAGCUCUUUCUUGAUUCUGUGGGUGGUGGUGCAUGGCCGUUCUUAGUUGGUG